UGGUCCCGUGGCAGACGGGUGCGUAACGCGUGGGAACUUGCCUGGUAGUAGGGAAUAACCAGUGGAAACAUUGGGCAACACCCUAUACGCCCUGAGGGGGAAAAUUUAUUGCUAUCAGAUAGGCCCGCGUUAGAUUAGCUAGUUGGUGGGGUAAUGGCCUACCAAGGCGACGAUCUAUAGCUGGUCUGAGAGGAUGAUCAGCCACACUGGAACUGAGACACGGUCCAGACUCCUACGGGAGGCAGCAGUGAGGAAUAUUGGACAAUGGGCGAAAGCCUGAUCCAGCCAUACCGCAUGAGUGAUGAAGGCCCUUGGGUUGUAAAGCUCUUUUAGUGGGGAAGAUAAUGACGGUACCCACA
rnacentral:rRNA from 1 species